rnacentral:rRNA from 1 species
GACGAACGCUGGCGGCGUGCUUAACACAUGCAAGUCGAACGGAAAGGCCCGGCUUUUGUGGGGUGCUCGAGUGGCGAACGGGUGAGUAACACGUGAGUAUCCUGCCCUUGACUUUGUGAUAACUUCAGGAAACUGCGGCUAAUACCGGAUAGGAGCUCCUGCUGCACGUGGUGCGUUGGAAAGCUUCGGCGGUUGGGGCUGGACUCGCGGCUUAUCAGCUUGUUGGUGUGGUAGUUGCUUACUAAGGCUUUGACGGGUAGCCGGCCUGGGAGGGUGACCGGCCACAAUGGGACUGAGAUACGGCGCAGACUCCUACGGGAGGCAGCAGUGGGGAAUAUUGCAGAAUGGGCGGAAGCCUGAUGUAGAAGCGCCGCGUGCGGGAUGCCGGGCUUCGGGUUGUAAACCGCUUUCGCAUGUGACGAAGCGUGAGUGACGGUAAUGGGUAAAGAAGCACCGGCUAACUACGUG